rnacentral:pre_miRNA from 1 species
GAUAUACUCCCUCCGUUCGGAAUUACUUGUCUCGGAAAUGGAUGUAUCUAGAACUAAAAUACGUCUAGAUACAUCCAUUUCUGCGACAAGUAAUUCCGAACGGAGGGAGUACGAC